GCCUGGCUGGCUCAGUGGGUGGAGCAUGUGACUCUUGAUCUCGGGAUUGUGAGUUCAAACCCCAGGCUGGGUG
rnacentral:tRNA from 1 species